rnacentral:lncRNA from 1 species
UACAAAAUUUCAACACCAAAACAUAUAAAAGCUUCACACACUCUUCAUCAAGAUAGUGCGAAGCUAAUUCAAGUUUUGUGUCCUAAAAAUAGCUUCAACUAGUCACGCUAUAUACCCAAACAACAAUCUAUAGUCAAUAAACCUUACCUAUUAAAUUAUUUUCCAAACACAAAACCUUGUGGCAAAUAAACAAAUUUUUUUCACAAAACCAAGAUUCUCUUGAACUUGUACAACAACACAUGAGUAACACAAACAUUUUUUAUUUUACAUCCGCAAUAUCCCUAUCAUAAACAGACAUACAAUUAUACAAAAUCCAACCCCAAGCAGCCUUUUUCUCCCUCUCCCUCUUCUGCCUCUUUCCAUCUAUCAAAUUUCUGCAACUCUUGCUCUUCCUCAGUGGAGCUGAAUUUUAUACAUCUUAUAGUUCUUGAGCAGAUGAACAACUUUCACGAAGGAAAUGUUUCUAUUUGAGCGACGGAAGUUAGAGUGUUGAAGCUCCAAACAUGACGGUCAGAUUUCUGCAAGCUUCAAAGCUGCUGCGGUGUUUCGAAGAUCUGGAAAUAUUCAACCGUUAGUUUGUUUUGAAUUUUUGAUAUGUUAUGGAAGAGAUGAUGAGGAACAACUUUUAUGAAGAAAGUAUGUUGAUCUGAACAAGAGAAAAUGAAGUUUUGAAGCUCACAAUAAGUCUGACGGGUUAACAGAAAAAUGAUGAACAGUCACUCAUCAUACCUGAAUAUCUGGAGUUGUACUACUCCAACGGAUCUCAAAUUUGGAUAUUUUGUAGUUCACAAGGUGAGGAACAACUUUUAUGAAGAAAGUAUGUUGAGCUGAACAAGAGAAAAUGGAGUUUCGAAGCUCACAACAAGUCUGACGGGUUAACAGAAAAUUGAUGAACAGUUACUAAUCAUACCUGAAUGUCUGGAGUUGUACUACUCCGAUGGAUCUCAAAUUUGGAUAUGUUGUAGUUCACAAGAUAAGGAACAACUUUCAUGAAGACGACUUUGCGAUCUGAGCUAUAGAGAAUGGUGUUAUAUUGCAUCCACUCAGGCUGAUUAGUGGAAACGAAAAACAAUUCCACCAAAGAAAAGAUGAAAAAGAAGAAUAACACAAAAAAGGGAGCUGGGUAGGACACAGGUACUCAUCAAAAUGAGAGAAAAGCUACUAAUUGCACUUGAUCUUGUCUAGUCAAUAACAUGCAGCAUCAAACACACAAAAGUUGGAAAUAUUUUUAGAUAAGGCAUAUACGAAUGUGUGACAUCGAAACAAGGAUUCGUUACUUUGACAAAUUAGUAACAAGCGAGACACCUCAUUCGGCAACUCUCUUCGCCUGAAGACUUGGGGGACUCCCACCAUAUGCUACUGCACCUUGAUACUCGGGCUACUGCACCUUGAUACUCGGAAGUCUCACAACCACUCAGUGACUUGGAUUUUUCAAGUCUCCAACCGAGAAAUUUUCCUCACUCGGGAAAUUAAGGGAACACUACCUCAAACUACAUGCUUCACUCACAAAGCUUCAACAAUACAAGUUUCAACAAAAGAAAAAAUUCAAAGAACUUUCUGAAGAAGGCUUUGGUGCAUUUAACACAAUACGUUGAAAUGAAGCAAAGCUUAUUUAUUAAUAUUUCCGAUAAGCCACAAAUAUGUACAUAUACAUGAGUCAAAAUAAACAAACAAAAGGGAGCCUUCACAAAGGUUGCUUAGGGGAAGUCUCAGCAGUCGGUAGAGCCCCAGAAAGAGAAAGCACCGGAGGGUGGUAAUCCGGAGCCUCAGUACUGGACAGAACCCCAGAAGGAUGAGGCAUUGGAGGUUGAUCACUUGGAGCUUCAUUAUGCGGUACAGCCCCAGAAGACGAAGGCAAUAAAUGCCUUUGGAACAAACCCACAAACCUUUUAUGAUCAAGUAAAGCCUGACCAUCAGAUUCCUGCAUCUGGUCAAGCUUCAUCUUCAUGUUUGUAGCAUAGUCAUGCACGAGCCUGUGCAACUGUUUAUUCUCAUGCUUGAGCUCUCUAAUCUCCUGUUUGAGACUUAUCACUUCAGCCGCCAAUGAUUCAACUUGGCGGGUUCUAGCAAAUAAGCGUUGGGCCAUAUUAGAAACAGAAGAUGCACACUGAACACUAAGAGCCAAAUAAUCCUUAACAGCCAACUCAUCAGACCGUUUGGGAAGUAGUCUGUUAUCUUUGGGAGUGAGAAGGUUCCUGGCCACCACCGCAACGGUCAUAUCAUUCUUCAUCAUAGAAUCCCCAACGGUAAGAGGACCAGUAGGGGAUAUGAAGGAUGGGCGCCAUAUGUUGUCUGGAGAAGGCGUGGCUGCCUCUUUUCCAAGGUUCAAGUCAAAACGACGGUCGGAAGGGCCAGACAUUUUCAAAGGUGUUGAAGAGAGAAGAGGUCAGACAAAUCAAGAUCUUAGAAGUGCAAGAAUGGAGCUUCUACUGGUGGAGAUUCAAGUGUGAUGUGGAACUUAAUGCCAUCCUCUAUAAAAAUCUGCAUUCGACGGAGCUUCAGAAAUCGAAGAGGUGUUUGCUUUCUCAAAAGCUGGGCUGCUUAGAAACCACGAGGGCCGAUCUCAAAAAUCGAAAAGGCGCUUCUUUUCUCAAAAGCUGGGCUACUCAGAGACCACGAGAGCCGAUCUCAGAAAUCGAAGAAGCACCUGCUUUUUCAGCCUCGUCAGCACCUGUCACAUGCACACUCAGCUUUGCGGAAAGUACGGGCAAUCAGUCGAAGAUUUCUGGUGAAGUAGAAAGCACGCGAAUCUUGCUGUUCAAUCACCACUAUCCACACGCACCAUCAACUCCUCGGGUACCACAUAUAACUUUGCCAAAGAUCUCUGACAAAGUUUAGGCGCGAGAAUUUUGAAGUUCCAGCUACCCUACUAUUACCCACAAGGGUAAAGGAACAUCACCACUGCUUGACAACCGGAAAGUCCUUAUGUGUGUCGACCUCCGUGUUCCGUGGCAAGACAGGCUGGCAAGAACGUCCAACCUUUACUCACAUUCGAGAAAAGACUCCCAACAUAAUUACUUUCUCAAAAACCGAAGAGGCACAGCUCUCAGAACUUCGAGAGCCAGAUUUCCCUAGAUAAAGCUUGUAUGUAAUCUUCACACGCAACAUCAGCUUUCCAGAUACCACAUACCACUUUUUCAAAGUGCUAUGACAAAGUUAAAACACGUGAAGCUGGCAGCUCCCACUACAUUGCUGUGACCAAGAAGGGUAAAAGAAUAGCAUUACUACUUGUUAUUGGGAAAUCCCUAUAUACAUCGACCUCCCUCCUCAACGGACAGGCAAACCUGCAAAAAUGCUCAACCCUUUCUCGCAUUCGAGAAUGCACCCUCAACAUAACCUCUCGAAAUACUCAGCUUUAUUUCCCCCCGAUAAUACCUCAGCAAAUAAGCCACACCAAGAACAAGAGUAUCUCAUAUCAUCAGGGUCGAAAGCAAGAGUAUCCCAUAUCAUGCUUUCUCCAUGUCAUUGUCUUCGUCCUUGUCCAUACCUACAGGACAAAGAGAAAUAAAGCAGUCAGUCGGAACCUGAAAUCAAACCUCCAAUCUGGAACUGACUGCCUGAGACCUUUGCCUGGUUGCUUACUUAGCAUUGCUCUCGAGAACUCAUCCUCAACUGCUGUCAAGGUCAUGAAUUCCACCGGCAAAUACCUCAUGACAGUUGAUCAGAUAUUGGCUUUUUACACUGAAGCUGCCAAGCGUGGAUGAGUCACUAUGAAGGACUGUUCUGAAGGACCAUUUAAAUGCAAAGGUUGCACACCACUUCUGCCAUGCAAAAGAUUGAAGCAGAAGGUUCAACGGUGAGCUGAAACAAAUCACUACAGCACGACACCUUUCCAUACCACAUUCACUAUUCCGUCAACAGCAAAAGUAUCCUAUAUCAUCAAGGUCGAACGUACUCUAGAUUUGAUGGACUUGUUUUGACCCUCAAAUUCUUGAGUCGGCCUUAUACUCUGAAGGGAACCAGAAAACCCUCCAGCACAGUUCAAGAAUAAGCCUGUGGAAAGUUACUUCUUCAAAAGCAAAAGUAUCUCAUAUCAUCUCUUCUCCAUUUGCUUCUCCUUAUCCUGGCAGCUGAAUGAGAGACAAGGAGAAGGAGAACAAUCAACCGGAAGCCGAAGUCGAACCUCCGAUCCUGGGUUGCUUGCUUGGAAGUUUGACUGCUUACCUUGUCUGUCACCUCUUUCGGCAGAUCUCCUAGCUCGGCGACUUGGGGGACUCCUACUAUAGGGUUUGUAUCGCACUUGACCAAGCCCGAAACUACAAGUAAGCUUCAAGUGAAAUUGAUACAUUACCUUGUGCAUCUUCAUUGGUUAAAUAUACCACCUAUGGAUGGAGGAAAAGUACUUCCAGAGAAGAUGCCACAUCUACAUAUGAGACAGAUAAGGCACGUGAAAAUGAUACCACACUUCGGUACUUAGAAGUUUCGUGAUUACUCAAUGGCUUGGAUCUUGCAAGUCCCCAACCGAGGAGCUUCCCUCACUUGGGAACUUAGGGGAGCACUGUUUGUACCAUACUUGACCAAUCCCGAAACUACUGAGCACCGAUCAACGUUAUACCGUCAAGGACCCAGAAGAGCUUCCCUUCAACCAGGAGGCCAAUCACAAUGCGACACGUGUCGACAUCAGAAGCCAAUCACAGCACGACACGUGUCAACAUCAGAAGCCAAUCACAACACGACACGUGUCAAUGUUAGAACAAAACUAGAAACUCUCUUCUAUAAAUAGGGAUCAUUCUCCCACAAUAAUCUCUAAUGUCAUUUUGUACUAAACUAUUCACUAGAACUCACAAAAUGAGAGCUUGAACCUAUGUAUUUGUGUAAACCCUUCACAAUUAAUGAGAACUCCUCUACUCCGUGGACGUAGCCGAUCUGGGUGAACCACGUACAUCUUGUGUUUGCUUCCCUGUCCCUAUUCAUUUACGUACUUAUCUUCACUAGUGAUCGAAGCAACCAAACGAAGAUCACAAACCUGACACUUUCUGUUGUACCAAAGUCCUCGCUGAUUUUGUGCAUCAACAAAGUGAAUCCUCAGACUCAUCUAGUCUUGACUGAAUUCGAACAAUUUGCUCCCCUAUCUUUUGCUGCAACUUAUCUUCAAUCUCUCUCGAAUUAGGCAAUGUCUCUUUUUCUGAGGACCACCAAGAAGAUGCUUCAUCAAACACCACAUCUCGUGAUGUGUAACACCUUCUAGUCUUAGGAUCAUAACAUUUCCACCAUUUUCUUUGGCUAUCGUAUCCCACAAAUAUAUAUCUGAUUGCAUUCUUGUCAAACUUGCUACGUAAAUGACUUGGAACAAAUACGUAGCACACAGCCAAAUACUCGAAAGUAACUAUAUGUAGGUUUCAUAUCCCACAGUUUCUCAAAUGGUGAGACGAAUUCUAACCUUGGUUGAGGAAGCCUGUUGAUCACAUGAGCUGUAGUUCUCAUUGAUUCGGCCCAAAACCUUCCUGGUACAUUAUUGGCAUAGAGCAUACUUCGACAUAUCUUUGCAAGAUGUCGAUUCAUUCUUUCCGCUACACCAUUCUGUUGUGGUGUAUUGGCACAUGUGAACUGCUGACGUAUUCUACAUUCCCGUAGAUACUGGGAAAACUCAUUCGAGGUAUAUUCUCCUCCAUUAUCCGUCCGUAUGCAACAUAUCUUAUUUCCCACUUCUCCUUCAACUGUCUCAUUAAACUCUUUAAAUUUUGAAAAUGUUUCAGAUUUUUCUUUCAUAAAGAAAACCCACACAUACCUGGAAAAGUCAUCAAUGAACAUCACCAUGUAUCGCAUCCCACUUAUCGAUGGUUGUUUGACGGGCCUAAACACAUCAGAAUGAACCAACUCCAACAGCUCUUUCGUUUUAAACUUUGACUCUUCGUAUGGUAGUUUAUGUGCUUUACCAUACUAGCAUCCUGCACAAACUGUGUAUGUUCUCACGUCAAGCUGAGGUAGCCCCUUAAGCAUUGACUUCUUCAUCAUCACAUUUAGCUUGUGAUAGCUAACGUGACCCAAUCUCAUGUGCCAUAAAUCUGUUGUCUCGUUCUUCCUUGUCUUGUCUAUGUAUGCAAUUUCUGCUGACAUUACAUAGAUUGACUACAGUCGCCGUCCCUCCAUUGUUAGCGUCCCUAAGAUCUUGAGGUGUCGAUACACCUUCACAUUUUGGGGACCAAACAAAACAUAAUUUCCCAAUGACGUCAAUUGAGGCACUGAAAGCAAAUUUUUCUUCAUACCUGGAACAUGGUAGACAUCUUGAAGUGCACCUGGUUAGUGUUGUAUUGGGGCAUAAUUACUGUCUUACCGAUAUGAGUAAUCGAUAACCUCGACUUAUUGGCCGUCACCACCAAUCGACCUCCCUUGUACUCAGUCAAAAUUUUUUAACUUUUUCUCAUCACCCGUCAUGUGGUUUGAGCAGCCUGAAUCCACGAUCCAAUCAUUCUGGUAGUCAAUCGACUCCGGACUUGCUCAUGUGAGAGUUUACUCUUGCUUCUCCAUAGCAACGGAUGCUUCAGCGUCCCAUUCUUCCUCCAGGGCCAGAGACGCAACGACGUCCAAAUCAUCUUCAAUUUUCUCCUUUAAGCUGGCGACAUUACUCUCUACGAACUUUUUGAACCAGCAAUUCUUUGCCAUGUGGCCCUUCUUUCCACAAUUGUAACAUUUUUCCUCAAACUUUUUAUUAUUUUGGGAUUAACCACGGUUGUCGUGAUACUUCGGAGCUCCCACUAGUCGAGAACUCAUUCCUCCUUGAUGACCUUUUUCCUUGUCGCCACUUCUUUUAGAUCCACCACCAGCACACCGCUUAAAACUGCCUUUACUUUUUGUGUAGAGCGCUUCUUCCUCACCUCUUGACGAGACCCUUCCCAUUUGCUUUGUAAAACCUUCUUGAUUGACAAGCAAAUUCUUAAACUCAACAAGUGAUGGUUGGGUCAACCAUCCUUGUACAACAGCAACGAAGCCUCUAUAUUCGGGUCUCAAUCCAUGGAUAAUUACUCUUUUUAUCCUGGAUUUUACAAUUGCAGCACUAGGAUCUAAUUCAGAAUCACGGCAAAUAGACUUUACCUUGUGGAAAUAUUCGGCAAUCGUCAUGUCUCGUUAAGCUAUCGAUAACAACUCGUUCUCAAGAAGUUGCAAUCUUGUAUCGUUCCUCUUUGAAAAAAGUGUGGCGAAGGUGUCUCAUGCUUCUUUCGGUGUCUUGGCAUUCUAUAUGUGCUCCAACAUGUCAUCUUCAAUUAUAGUUUUUAAGGCAAACAUGGUCUUACCUGCCUUGAUCUUCCACUUCCUCAAAGUGUCGUUGGUGUCUUCUUCCAACUGCGUAACUUCAUUACCGCCGACAACAUCCCAAAGAUCUUGGCCUUGUAGGUAAGACUCCAUACACGUCGCCCAUAUGUUGUAAUUUUUGUUGUUCAACUUCUUGAUUCCUCCAACAACUUGAAGGUCUCCCAUCGUGUCGGCAGAGCUUAGAUAUGCCGAACAAGGUUAACCAAUAAUCUUGCGAAGUACUAAACUUCUCAUGACUCUCAAAAGCUUCAAUAGAGACGGUCCUUGAUCGAACCUGGCUCUGAUACCAAUUGCUGAGGAAAAAUUAGAGUACACAACUCUAACACAAGUGUUGGAGAAACAAUACAAGUAAACAAAUUACUUGUAUUACAAAUACAAAAUAUUUCAACACACCUCAAUGACACACUUUAGAAGCUACGACACUCACUCACUUCUAGAGACACACUCUAGACCACUCACACUCUUCACAAGACUACUCCUACUUCUCACUCUCUUACUUAGCUCUCUCUUCUUGGCUACUUUCUUGAUUGGUUUAUUGUUACAUAGCAUUACACCCAUAUUUAUAGGCUUGCUAAACCAACUUACUACAUCGGUUAACAUGGGCUUAAAUUCAUCCUAGCCACAACUUUAGUUAUUCUAGAUUUUACUACAAAACCAUUUUUCUAGAUUAUUCUAGCCUAAGUCGGUGGACUUGGCUUUUCCAUUCAAACACCAAUUGCUGCACUUUGGCUAGAGUUUUCUAGCAUAUUCCCAUUAUAAAAUCUUCUAGAAUAAUCUCAUGCAUGUUUGAACUAGAAUAGUCUAGUUCCUUUACACCGACUUUUCUUAAUGAGCUGGUGUUGAUCUUUAACAGAAGCAUGGAGCCUUACGUACGGUCAACCCUUGGAUCUGGUCAUGUGUUACUUAAUGAGCAAGCUAAAUGUCACUUUGACGUAUCUUUCUAUCAUUCAUGGUAGAUUACAAUUUACAACUGAUUAAGCUCGAAGUUAAGGAGGAAAUUUAUGGAAAAGGGGCAUCUAAUAAAUUCUAGGAAAACACACACACACCAACAAAAAAAAUUAAAAAAGCGAAAGACACCCAACUGACCAACGUCGAACACAACAAAAACCUUCUAAUUCCGUAUUUUUCAAGUUUGAUAUAUUCAUCAACUAUUCAUCAAGGCUAAUUAAUGCAGUCCUUUUCAAGGGUUUAAAGAAUGGUCUGCAAUGGAGGCUGCACAAGACCAUACGUGAGGUUGAGAUCCAAGUCUAACGUUUGCAUUUGGAAAGUCACAUCAUUGACAAUUCAGAAAAAAGGAAAAAUAAAGAGUUAGUUGCAAAAUAUAACCAUGAAGUUUGGAGCUACUUGAAAAAAAAAAAGAAAAAAGACAACACUUUUAAUUUUUACGUAACUACAAAAAGUAUCUAAAGUUUAACAAUUCAAGUCAUUCUUGUAUUCUAUAUCAAAAUCGUUAGAAAAUAAUUGAUUUGAGAGCCGGCCUAAUUGCUUUUUAGAAGAGAUCUCCUACUUUUGAUGCGUAAGCAACUAACGGAGCCUGGACAAUAAGUGAGAAAUGCCUUCAGUCCUCAACAGUGUAUUUGUGUGUGCAAUGCAAACAAGUUGAGCAGGUUGAUAGGCGAACCCAAUGUUAACCCUUCAUUGGGAAUUUAAAUUUUUUCCUAAUUCUAACCUUACCAAUCGAAUUGAAAGUCAAGUUGAACUCUGAGCAGGUUCGGUUUAACCCAACCCAAAUAACACCUUUUGUAAUUAGCUAAAAAAUAAAAAGAGACGCAUGCAUGUUGCUUGGAGCCUUGGCGAUUGCCUCUAAACCUAAACCCUAAUUCCUAAACUUGAAGGGUAAAGUUGGAAAUUAAAUUUUUGUUCAUAGAAGAUCAAGUCACAUGUAUUGGUAGAGAGAUUUUUCAGUGUGACCGUCACACGAGGUGGUACACUACAUGUCCCUAUAUAAAUGGUGAGAUGUGUGUUAAAAUGUUAAUAACUUAAAAAUUAAAAUUUUCCAUCACUUACAUAAAAACACGUGGUGUAUCAUCCGUAUUCCCAUCACAACUAAAAAUUUACCGUAUGCCAAGUUCUCACUAUGCCAGACGAAGUCAAGGACAAAUUUUCCGGGAAAGUUUACUAAAGCGUUUUUUCCAACACACAACCUUAUAUAUGCCGUAGGACAUACGUAAAAUGUCAUCUAUAAACAAGUUACAUAGAGCGUGUUCUGUCAUUAUUUGUUGCUUCAAAAUGCAAACGGAAAUGUCUGUCUGUCUCACCAGCGCGAAUCGCGUCCAAAGGUUCUGGCUUCUGUUUCCCAGGCUCAUCAUCUACUUUCUCACCAUUCUCUCCUAUGGAGUUGAAGCUGGCAGUAGAACCAAUGUCACCAACGUUGGCGCAGUCAUUAACGUUAGUUCUCGUAUUGGAAAAGAGCAGAAAACCGCCAUGGAGAUCGCAGCUGAGAGCUUCAACAACCGUUCAAAGACUCAUAAGCUCAUCCUUCAUUUUCCCGACUCCGGCAGAGACCCCUUUCUUGCUGCUUCUGCUGGUGAGAAAGCAGUUAACACAUGACAUGAUGGUAUUUAUAAUAGCUAAUUAGUUUGGAAAUGUAUAAGUGCUGAUGAAGAUUUUUUAUUUUUCGUUUUAUGUUACAGCUGAAGAGUUGAUAAAGGAAAAGAAGUAGAAGUAAUAGUUGGCAUGGAGACAUGGCAGGAAGCAGCUCAAGUAGCUGAUCUUGUCGGAAACCAAGCUCAAAUUCCGGUGAUUUCGUUUGCAGCACCCUCUAUAACCCCGCCACUAAUGCAACGCCAAUGGCCAUCUUUGAUACGAAUGGCAACAAAUGGUUCUGCUCAGAUGAAAUGCAUUGCGGAUAUAGUUUCAGCCUACCAUUGGAAAACGGUGGUUGUGGUAUACGAAGAUGACGGCUAUGGCGGCGAUGUUGGGAUGCUAGCUCUUUUGACCGAGGCGCUUCAAGAUGUCGGUUCAAAGAUUGAGCACCGUUUGGUUCUUCCGCAGAUUUCUUCGCUGUCUAAUCCAAACUGGGUUGAGCUAGAAGAGAUGUUGAGGCUUCCCAAAAUGCAGUCUCGGGUGUUUAUCAUUCUCCAGUCAUCGUUGCCUACAGUGACUAAUCUAUUUCGAUUGGCUGGGAAGAUGGGACUUGUUGGAAAAGAGUCAGCUUGGAUCAUCACCGAGAGUAUUGCAAGUCUGCUUGACCCUCAACACGCCUCUGACAUGAAAGGCACCCUGGGAAUCAAGACCUACUAUGCCAAUAAUACUAGUUCUUAUACAAAUUUCCGGAAGAAAUUCCAAACGAAGUAUUCAGAAGGAAAUAGCGCCCAGCCAGGAAUUUAUGCUCUUCGAGCAUAUGAUGCUAUUGGAACAUUUCACAGGCUAUAGGAAGAAUGACUGAUAACACAACUAGCCUUGAGGUGUUGAAAACCGUAUUGAGCAGUUAUACAGGUUUGAGCGCGAACAUGCGGUUAAACAGCGGUGAGGUACUGUACUCUCCAAUUUUCAGGAUUGUAAAUAUUUUGGAUGAGAAUAGAUUCCAAGAAUUGAACUAUUGGACACCGGAACUUGGGUUCUCAUCGGAUGAAGCAGGGGAAAACAAAUUCAGUGAUGUUGGUGGAGUAAUCUGGCCUGGGAACCUAACUAGUGCCCCGAAAGGCUGGGCAAUGCCUACUGUUGAGAAGCCAAUGAGAAUUGGGGUGCCGGGUAAAACUUCCUUCAGCAAAUUUGUGAAGGUUGACUCAGAUAAGAAGAAGUCUGUCGACGGUUUCUGCAUUGCAAUUUUUGAUUUGGUCAUAAAUCGUUUGAACUAUUUUCUGCCGUAUCAAUUCGAAGUUUUCAAUGGCUCGUACGAUCAUCUUGUGGAACAAGUCCAUAAAAAGGUAAAACCAUCAUUUAUUUUUCUAUUUUUUCAUAAAGAUGAAUUUAAAUACUGUUUCGCUCUUUCAUUGGUUUUGAUUUGACUAUAUGCUUACAGGUUUAUGAUGCUGUCGUUGGUGACAUAACCGUGCUAGCUGACCGGCUGGACAAGGUGGAAUUCACUCAGCCAUAUAUGGAGUCUGGUUUGUCAAUGAUAGUUCCGGCAGAACCCAAAAAAUCAACAUGGAUGUUUAUGAAACCUUUCACAUGGCAAAUGUGGGUGGUGACUGUUUCCAUCUUAAUCUACACAGUGUUCAUCGUAUGGUUCCUGGAGCAACCGUCAAAUCCAGAAUUUGAUGGCCCCUUGAAGAAUCAGAUUGGCACAGCAACUUGGUUCACCUUCUCCUCUUUGUUCUUUGCUCACAGUAAGUACCAAUUUUGUACAUUUCACUACCAAAAAAGUGAGUAUUAGAAGCGCUUCUUUAGAGGCGAGGGGUGGAUUGUCCCUGACAUACGCCCCUAUUUGGCUUUGUAGCGGCCAUUCUAAACGCCCCUACCACUCUUUUCUUCUUCAUAAUGUAUGAUAACCAAUGACGAUCUAAAAUUUUCAGGACAAGCCUAACUACGAAAAUAGUCGGGUCCAAAAUUGUUUGAGAAUUGAUCUUAUCCUCAUUGUAAACCUAUGUUUUUAUUUCACAGAAGAGAAAAUCUACAGCAACUUGACGCGAGUGGUGGUCGCAGUUUGGCUCUUUGUUGUACUGAUCCUGACCUCAAGCUACACCGCUAAUCUCACUUCAAUGCUCACCGUUCAGCGACUGAAACCGAAUGCAACAUACAUCGACACCGACUCGAAAGUUGGUUGCGACGGGGACUCAUUUGUCAUUGAGUACCUGCGGAAUGUCCUUGGAUUCAAAAAAAUCAUCGAAGUGAAAAGUGAAUACGACUACCCGAAAGAAUUCAAAAACAAAACUAUAGAGGUCGCCUUUCUUGAACACCCAUAUGCAGAAGUCUUCAUUAAUGAGAACUGCAUAGGAUAUACUGCCACUGCACCCACCUAUAGAUUUGGAGGCUUGAGCUUUGUGAGUAAUGAAUAAAUUGUUCACAUUCUAUUUCUUUCUGCACGUACAAAAUACAAAAAUAUGCAUAAAUAGAACUGGUUACAAACUUUUGGUCGAAAAUAUCUCAAUAGAAGUUACCAUAUUUCUGACCAACAUAGCGAAACUAAAAAAAUCGCUUUCGUGUUCACCUCGCAGAUAUUCCAGAGAGGUUCUCCAAUAGCGCGUGAUUUCACAAAGGCGAUUCUAGAGCUGUUGGAGAAUGGAGAUGUGAAGAAGCUACAAAAUGAAUGGUUGACUCCCAAGGAGUGUCCAAGAAAUACAACUUUGAACGAACCAGAAAGCUUGACCCUCAACAGUUUUUCAGUCCUCUAUGAAAUAUCAGCUGCUACUUCCACCUUAUGUUUUCUGCUCUCUUUUACUAUCCGGCUGAGGAGGUUUCAGCAUCAAGAGGCAGCAGAACAAGGCAGUGCAAGUCCGUGCGCGAGCGGAGAAACGCUUUGGAACAAGGCAGUUAGAAUGGCAAAAUUUUUUUGCAAUAGAGAGAUUAAUGUUCCAACCAGAGCUCCAACUUUAGCACAUUACGCAGAAGAAUGGAGUUCUCCAAGGUGGGAGCCACUGGCAAAGCUACAUAGGAGCAAGGAGGGGCGGCCGCCCCUCCGGUCGUCGGAAAUCGCCAUGAAAGCAAGAAUUCGGCCCCUCCGAUCUUUCUGAACCUACUGAAAUCUGGGGGCGCUGUGCUACUGAGUUUUAAUUUUAUUGAUGUGGUCUUCUUUUAGAAACGCACUACCAGCGCACCAUUUUAAUUCUCUUCCCUCUCUCUCAUUUGUUUAGACUAUAGAAAUACAAAAGGUUGAUGUUUGUUAUUGUUCUUUUUCAAUCCUUGUUAUUACUUCUAGUAUUUAAAAUUAUAAUACAAAAGAUUGAUGUUUGUUAUUGUUUUUUCUCUAUUCUUGUUAUUAUUUAUAUUUAAAAUUAUUUUAUAUUUUGUUCUUUAAUUCUUGAGAAAUGAUGAUUUUGAGAACUUGAUUCAGAUACACAAAACUUUUGUGAGGAAAAUGAUAUUAGUGUUCUUAUUAUGUGAGAGAUGUUUUUGCUUUUAUUGAGAGAAAUGUUUAUAUUGCAAUAGAUGUACAACAAUUGUGUGAUAGUUUGAUUUUUAUAUUGAGAUGCUUUUAUUGAUAAUGAGUCUAUUAUGCGACCGUUUCAGAACAUGAAGCAUUGCCGGCAACAAUUGCAAGAUGUUUGUAUUGAUAAAUUAUUAACGACAUUAAUAUUGUCUAUUAUCUAAAAGAAUUUGAUUGCCUACAUUUUUUUUGGAAUCUAUUAUGCUUUUAAAUUUCGCCCCUCCCCUCGAAAAUUCCUGACUUCGCCACUAGUGGGAGCACUCUACCACUUCAAGUUCCACUACUACCCGAGCAUCCUCAUCAGACCAAAAAUCCACCAGAAAUUGAAUGCCUUACAAUCCAAUCCAAUACAACACGCCUAAACCAAAAUCAACCCAACCGGUUCAAUUCCCGUGACUUUACUAGCUAAAAUGCCCGCGCGAUGCUGCGGGUUGUAAAACUGUGUUAAACGUGUGAAAUAUAUUAAAAUCUAUUUGUAUUCUCAUCAAAAUCUAAAAAUCAUCCAAAGUGUAUUUGCAUAUCACAAAAUAUAAAAUGUCUUGAGUAAAUAUAGAAAAUCUUAAAUGCAUUUGGGCACACGUACCAUUUGAACAAUAGGGAUAGGGUUCUUGGUAUGCUGCAACCAGUAAAGUAGCUAGGUGCAAAUAUCAUCCAUAUUUUCCCAUCUAUAUUAUGAAAUACUUAUUGUUCAAAAUACUCUAGCAACCUUUAUACAACAUAUUGGUUGACCAAUCAAUUUUUCAAAUAUUGAUCCGAGUAGUACAAAAGUAUGUAAUCUCACAUCUAGGAUUGCCCAUCCCUAUAUAUACAGCAAAAUAGCUAUACAACUCCAUCAUUGCAAGUACUCAUAUCAUCUUUCAUUACAUCCCUGACAAAAAAAAGAAAAAAAAGAAAAAGAAAAAAGUGAUUCAAAAAUAUAUUUUAAAGUAGACUUUCAAUCCCCCCCGCCUGGUUCGUUUGCCUAAUCCCUAAGCCCACUCAAAACAUAGAAGAGUUGGACAGUUGGGUCUUAACCUUAAGCACACUCACAUACAAUAUAGUUUGUCUCUCGGAUCACAUUCGUUUAAUGGAUUUUUUGUUAGCCAGAUAUAAAAAAUAAAAAAAUAUUGGGUAAAGCAGUUGACACAUGACAUGACGGUAUUUAUAAUAGUUAAUUAGUUUGGACAUGUAUAAGUAUUGAUGAAGAUUUUUGAUUUUUCGUUUUAAUUUCUGUUGCAGCUGAAGAGUUGAUAAAGGAAAAGAAUGUAGAAGUAAUAGUUGGGAUGGAGACAUGGCAGGAAGCAGCUCAAGUAGCUGAUCUUGUCGGAAACAAGGCUCAAAUUCCGGUGAUUUCAUUUGCAGCACCCUCUAUAACCCCACCACUAAUACAACGCCGAUGGCCAUCUUUGAUACGAAUGGCAACAUAUGGUUCUGUUCCGAUAAAAAUGCAUUGCGGAUAUAGUUUCAGCCUACCAUUGGAAAAGGGUAGUUGUGGUAUACGAAGAUGAUGGCUAUGGCGGCGAUGUUGGGAUGCUAGCUCUUUUGACCGAGGCCCUUCAAGAUGUCGGUUCAAAGAUUGAGCACCGUUUGGUUCUUCCGCAGAUUUCUUCGCUGUCUAAUCCAAACGGGGUCGAGCUAGAAGAUGUUGAGGCUUCCCACCAUGCAUUCUCGGUUGUUUAUCAUUCUCCAGUCAUCGUUGCCUACGGUGACUAAUCUAUUUCGAUUGGCUGGAAAGAUGGGACUUGUUGGAAAAGAGUCAGCUUGGAUCAUCACCGAGAGUAUUGCAAGUUUGCUUGACCCUCAACACACCUCUGACAUGAAAGGCACUCUGGGAAUCAAGACCUACUAUGCCAAUAAUACUAGUUCUUAUACAAAUUUCCGGAAGAAAUUCCAAACGAAGUAUUCAGAAGGAAAUAGCGCCCAGCCAGGAAUUUACGCUCUUCGAGCAUAUGAUGCUAUUGGAAUCAUUUCACAGGCCAUAGGAAGAAUGACUGAUAACACAACUAGCCUUGAGGUGUUGAAAACCGUAUUGAGCAGUUAUACAGGUUUGAGUGCGAACAUGCGGUUAAACGGCGGUGAGGUAAACCAAAUAAGAAUUGAACUAUUUUGGAUGAGAAUAGAUUCCAAGAAUUGAACUAUUGGAAACCGGAAGUUGGGUUCUCAUCGGAUGAAGCAGGGAAAUACAGAUUCAGUGAUGUUGGUUUAGUAAUCUGGCCCGGGAACCUAGCUAGUGCCCCGAAAGGCUGGGCAAUGCCUACUGUUGAGAAGCCAAUGAGAAUUGGGGUGCCGGGUAAAACUUCCUUCAGCAACUUUGUGAAGGUUGAUCGGUCCAGGCAAGGCUCAGAUAAGAAGAAGUAUGUCGGUUUCUGCAUUGCAAUUUUUGAUAUGGUCAUAAAUCGUUUGAACUAUUCUCUGCCGUAUCAAUUUGAAGUUUUCGAUGGCUCGUACGAUCAUCUUGUGGAACAAGUCCAUAAAAAGGUAAAACCAUCAUUUAUUUUUCUAUUUUUUCAUAAAGAUGAAUUUAAAUACUGUUUCGCUCUUUCAUUGGUUUUGAUUUGACUGUAUGCUUGCAGGUUUAUGAUGCUGUGGUUGGUUACAUAACUGUGCUAGCUGACCGGCUGGACAAGGUGGAAUUCACUCAGCCAUAUAUGGAGUCUGGUUUGUCAAUGAUAGUUCCGGCAGAACCCAAAAAAUCAACAUGGAUGUUUAUGAAACCUUUCACAUGGCAAAUGUGGGUGGUGACUGGUUCCAUCUUAAUCUACACAGUGUUCAUCGUAUGGUUCCUGGAGCGCCCGUCAAAUCCAGAAUUUGGUGGCCCCUUGAAGAAUCAGAUUGGCACAGCAACUUGGUUCACCUUCUCCUCUUUGUUCUUUGCUCACAGUAAGUACCAAUUUUGUACAUUUCACUACCAAAAAAGUGAGUAUUAGAAGCGCUUCUCUUAGAGGCGAGGGGCGGAUUGUUCCUGACAUACGCCCCUAUUUGGCUUUGUAGCGACCAUUCCAAACGCCCCUCAACAGUUUUAAAGGCCUCUAUGUAAUAUCAGCUGCUACUUCCACCUUAUGUUUUCUGCUCUCUUUUGCUAUCUGGCUCAGGAGGUUUCAGCAUCAAGAGGCAGCAGAACAAGGCAGUGCAAGUCCGAGCACGAGCGGAGAAACGCUUUGGAACAAGGCAGUUAGAACGGCAAUUUUUUUUUACAAUAGAGAGAUUAACGUUCCAACCAGAGCUCCAACUUUAGCACAUUACGCAGAAGAAUGGAGUUCUCCAAGGUGGGAGCACUCCACCACUUCCAAGUUCCACUACUCCCGAGCAUCCUCAUCAGACACAAAAAUCCACCAGAAAUUGAAUGCCUUACAAUCCAAUCCAAUCCAACACGCCUAAACCAAAAUCAACCAAACCGGUUCAAUUCCUUUGACUCAUAGAGCAUUACUAGCUAAAAUGCAUGCGUGAUGCCGCAGAUUGUAAAAUUGUGUUAAACGUGUGAAAUAUAUUAAAAUCUAUUUACAUCCAUAUCAAAAUCUAAAAAUCAUCUAAAGUGUAUUUGGAGAUCACAAAAUGUAAAAUGUGUUGAAUAAAUAUAGAAAAACUUAAAUGCAUUUGGACACACGUACCAUUUGAACAAGAGGAACAGGGUUCUUGGUAUGCUGCAACCAGUAAAGUAGCUAGGUGCAAAUAUCAUCCAUAUUUUCCAUCUACAUUAUGAAAUGCUUAUUAUUCAAAAUACUCUAGCAACCUUAAUACAACAGAUUGGUUGACCAAUCAACUUUUCAAAUAUUGAUCCAAGUAGUACAAAAGUAUGUAAUCUCACAUCUUUGAUUGCUCAUUCCUAUAUAUGCAGCAAAAUAACUAUACAACUCCAUCAUCGCAAGUCCUCAUAUCAUCUUUCAUGCAUCUCUGACCGAAAAAAAGAGGUGAUUCAUAAAUACAUUUGCCCUAAAGUUUAGACUUUCAAGCACCCCGUUUGGUUCGUUUGCCUAAUCCCCAAGUCCACUCAAAACACAGAUAGAAGAGUUGGGUCUUAACCUUAAGCCCACUGACAUACAAUAACAACUAAGGAAAACUAAUGAUAAAUACUUGAAAACUUUGAAUUUUAACAAUAAGGACAAAAUAAAUGUAAAGUGAAUAGUACCAAGAUUGACUUUUUAGUGUAAAAAUAUCGUUUUUCGUUAAAGUGAACAGUAACGGGAGCUUUUUGUUAAAGUUCCCUAAAAACUAAUCUCUCUGCAAGUGCUAAAGAGAGUUUCAUUUAAUGGACUUUUUGUUAGCCAGAUAUAAAAAAAAAAAUAUAUUGAGUAAAUUUUAUUUAUCUCCUCAUGUUUAUGUGCAAUUAUAAUAUAUUUAAAACAUUUUAAUCUCAUACAUUUCCUAUUGUUUCAUUUCAAUUUCAUACCUCCGUUAGAAAAUUUGUUAAAUUAACCGUUAAAUGAUGCUGUGACAAAUAUGGAAUCCUCAUUUAUGGUAAUAUGGAACAAAUGAAAAAAAAAACAUUUUAAAAUGAUUUUUCAAUUCGAGUUGGAUUGGCCCGCCCAUUAGAGAUCGAUUUCUCAGGCUUGCAUGGGCUGGCCAAGUCGAGUUGAGCCCUCAUAUAUUUUUUUCAUAAUGAUCUUCAUACUUCUUCUCUCUUUUUAUCUUCAUUAAAGGCUAUAUCUAACUAAAACCAAUAAUAAUAGGUUUUUAAUUAUUAAUUUAUUAAUUACUAUAGGUGGGCCUAGUAAGCAGUCAAGCAUCAACACAUGCAAAAAAUGUGUGUGCAUAAAUUAGAAUGAUUCUUGGAUGGAUGGGCACACGACGAAAUACGGGAUUAAGAACGAGGAUAUCGAAAAUAAUGUAGGAGUUGCCGCAAUUGAAGAUAAGAUGAGAGAAAAUCGGUUAAUUUGGUUUGGAAAUGUGAAACGAAGAGCUAUAUAUGCUCCGGUCAGAAAAUGAGAUUAUGGGAUAAAAGCUCAGGAUCAAAAUGGUAGAGGAAGACCAAGGAAGACUCGGAAAUAGGCUUUAAGAAAAGACAUAGAGUACUUGGAGCUAAUAGAAGACUUGGCGCAAAACCGAAGGCAGUGAUGUUUUAUAAUUCAUUUAGCUGACAUCAUUUAGUGGGAUAAGACUUAACCUUGUUGGAAAUAAAAUACAAAGAGAAAGAGAGAAUAGAGGAAGAUUGAGAAGAAAAAUCAGAGUAUCUAUUAUCUCAUUAGAUAGUCUGUUUAUAGGUCAUUAGAUAGUCUAUUUACAGGUUUUAGAGUUUACAUGAAAAAAGUGUUAAACUAUUCAAAUAUUACAUACUGACCUAUAAGUGAACAACUACAUAAUAAAUAUUAAUUACAACAAACCUAAUAAUAUCAAGGCCAUGAAGCAUGGAGCCCUUUAUAUACCUACGGUCAGCCCUUGGAUCUGGUCAUGUGUUACUUGAAGAGCAAACUAAAUGUUACUUUGACGUAUCUUUCUAUCAUUCAUAGUACACACAACUAAUUAAGGUCGAAGGGAGGAAUUUUAUGGAAAGGGAACGGCUAAUAAAUUGUAAGAAAACACAUAAAAAAUGGGCAAAGACACCCGACUCACCAACGUCAAACACAACGAUGAUUUUCUAAUUCCGUAUUUUUAAGUUUUCCCGAUCAUUAAGUUGGGUUUUAUAUUUCAAUUAGGAUUCUUGUUUCAAUUAGAGUUAUUAAUUGGCUCUACUAUAUAAACAAUUGUUUGAGGCCAGUGUGUCAAAUUUUCAGUUGCAUACGGUCACACUGUGUUUCUUGUACCUCAAGCAAUUGCAUUCGUGCGUGCACACACUCUCUUUCCUUAAGCUCACGCGGAUUCGUACGUAUUUUCUGAAAGUGACUUUCAAGUGUCCAUGGGAAUGGCGUGGAGAUAAAUUAACCAAAUUUGUAUCUGAAAUUGAUGGUGUACUAUAUUGUUGAUGUGGAGCAAGGGAAGUUGGUUGUGACAAGAAAGAACCCUUGAUAAAAAGCAACUCAUCACGGCGAUUAAACAUGCGAAGCUCUGGAGAAGUCAAAAGGGUUCGAAAAACUAGCGGAUUCAACUCGAAAACCAGUUCAAGGACAUGGUCAUUGGUGAAAGUAGCAAAGUGGUGGCAAAGGCAAAAAAUUUGUCGACCUCGAUUUGUCUGAUGAAGAAGUGGGUGAGGAUGGGUUGGCACAAAUAUAAGUAAAAGACUGGAUUGCAUGAAACAGGAAUGUCAAGGUGGUGAGGAGACGACACAAUGGUGCUGCUAGUUCAAGGAUUUGCAUGAUAAGCAAGAAUAUUGUCCAGGUGGUGGUGUCCAAACCUAUCGAGUGUUGUUACGUGUUUUGACUUCUCCACAUGGUGUUGGAGGAUUUGCUGGGGAUGCUUAUCACGCGUUGCUGCAUGUUUUAAAUUUUCUACGUGCUGUCGGGUGAUUGAUUUAGGACACGACCACUUUAAAUCGUCAUCGGUUUAUGUAAGUCUUUAUUUGGGAAUGCAGUCAAACAUUAUGGCAAUAAACAUGAAAAUAAGCAACUGAUGAAUAACACGGAACAUGACACUGAUGCUUUGAAUCAUAGCAAAGAAGGGAAAGACGGCGCCAAAGGAGGCAAAGUAAGCAAUCCUGACAACCUAGAGGAUCUUCUAUCCUCCUGCCCUUGGGGUGGUGGGGAGAGAAUACAGAAUACUUCCUCUGUGUGUGGGUGUGGUCGGACCACAUGGACGGACCUUAGAAUUUCUCCCAAUAACCAACCGCCGCAACAGCAGGAUACGGUGGCCAUGCUGAUGAUGGAUGAAAACAUAGCAAUUGAUCCUUUCACUUUAUUCAGUGAUGACAAUGUUCAUAGUUGCGUUAUUUUGUAAAAUUGCUAGAUUUUUGUCUAUUUUUUGGGUCGAUUAAAUUUAUCUCAUUGGAUUGUUAUGUCCUCUAGGAUUCAUAUUUUUGUUUCUUCAAAAGAGGACUAGCUGGUGGAUUCGCCAUGCUAGUCCAUUCUUCUAGGGGUUGGAAAGAUUUACAAAGGCAUUUCAGUCUUCUCUGACCACCAUCGUGUGAUUCACCAGCAUCAAGAAUCGAAUCAGGACAUUUCGUGUGAAAAACAGGCUUAGAAUACAUCUUCAACCAUAGAACACCCCCCUGGUGGUUGUAUUCAUAUUUUUGUUUGAGUUGCGAGAUUUUAUUUUACUUUUUAGUUAGUGUUAUUGGAUUUUUGCUUAUUACUUUUAAUGGGCAAAAUUUUCAAAUUAAACGUUCUUGACUUACUAUUCUUUCAUCCAUGACAAUUGACUUUGUAAACAAACAAGUUUCAAUGAAAAAUGAGGAAUGAUGCUGUAAACACGAAUAUUCCUGCAAUGAAUGAGACAAGAAUACGUGUACAAAAUAAUAUUUGUAUUAAUAAUUUAGGGGUUACAAUCUCUUCUACAAAUUUAGCCUCUGAUUCGAUCUUUGUAAUGCAUAGAUUUGUGGAUUGUGCUAUUAAUCCAAGGGUCGUUGGGGCUUGAUCUUGAAGGUUGACAAACGGGUCUUCAAGGGGCUUUUGGGCUUGAUUUUGAAGAACGGUUGUGCGGAUUUCUUCAAAGGCUUUUGGGCUUAAUCUUGAAGGUUGAUGGGUGAACGGAUCUUCAAGGGUUUUUAGACUUGAUCUUGAAGAAUGGUUAGAUGUGUGGAUUUGUUGAUGUUGUUGAUCCAAAGGGUCGUUGGGGCUUGAUCUUAGGAUGAACGGACGAUGAACGAUGAACACUUUCUUCAAGAGUCGUCGGGGCUUGAUCUUGAAUUGGUGGAAGUUCUUUAAGGGCCGUUGGGGCUUGAUUUUGAAGGAGGAUUUGACGAAGAACGAAGAGAGCUUUCUUGAUCCUUCAGGAUUGGCUUGGGAGCUUUAAAGUUUCAAAGCUUCAAGGUUUUGGUGUGAUGUGAAUUUGUUAUGAAUUGGUGUCCUAAAAUGAAUGAAAUGGUCUUGUAUUUAUAGAAUUUUUUCAAGGCCUAAUUUUGAAUAUAAUAUUAAGAUGAAAUAAAUCAUUUCUGUUAGGUGUUGACACGUGUCUGUAGACAUCGAAAUUUCGGUAAAUAAAUGUUGACCGAUAAAUCAAAGUUUCAACGCUCAUGUAUUACAUAAAUUUUACACGUAGCGUGUGUCUAAACAAAAAAUCGAAAUAAGUUGGAAAAGUCAUCAAACAGGACACGUGUCAACACCUGGCAGAAACGACUUAUUUCAUCUGGGAUAUUAUAUUCAAAAUUAGGCCUUGGAAAAUUCUAUAAAUACAAGCCCAUUUCAUUCAUUUUAGGAAGAAAGAAACCAAUUCAUAUUACACCUUGAAGCUUUGAAGCUCUGAAACUCCGAAGCUCUCAAGCAUCCAGGUUCCCGAAGAAUCAAGAAAGCCUUCUUCGUUCUUCGUUCAUCGUUCUUCCAAGAUCAAGCCCCGACGGCCCUUGAAGAAAGUGUUCUUCGUUCAUCGUUCUUCCAAGAUCAAGCCCCAACGGCCCUUUGGAUCAACAAUCAUCCACCAAUUCAAGAUCAAGCCCCGACGGCCCUUGGAUCAACCAUCCACCAAUUCAAGAUCAAGUCCCGACGGCCGUUGAAGAAAGCACCAUCGUUCAUCAUCCAUUCAUCCAAGAUCAAGCCCCAACGGCCCUUUGGAUCAACAACGUCGACAAAUCCACACAUCCAACCAUUCUUCAAGAUCAAGCCCAAAAGCCCUUGAAGAUCCGUUCAUCACUGUUCUUCAAGAUCAAGCCCAAAAGCCCUUGGAGAUCCGUUCGUCACUGUUCUUCAAAGAUCAAACCCAAAAGCCCCCUUUGAAGAUCCGCUCAAAUCCACCUUCAAGAUCAAGUCAAAAGCCCUUGAAGAACGUUCAUCCUUAGAUCAAGCCCAACGGCCCUUUGGAUCAAUCACACAUCCACAAAUACACACCUUACGGAGAUCGAAUCAGAUGAUCAAAAUAGAGAGAGAUUGUAACCCAAAAUCAUCAAAUACAAAUAUUUGUUUGUGCGCGUUGUUCUUGUCUCUUUCGUUUCAGGAAUUUUCCGUGUUCACAGUGUCUUUAUUUGAUGACUUUUCCGAUUUAUUUUGAGUUUUCGUUUAGUCACACACUACGUGUAAAAAUUUAUGUGACACGAGAGCGUUGAAAUUGUAAUUAUUGGUCAACAUUUAUUUCACUGAAAUUUCGAUGUCUACAGAUACCUUUCAUACCCAGAAGCAAAAGUAUGGUUUACAUAAUUAUAAUUUUUAAUUAUUCUCUCGAGACGUCUGUCCAUGGAUGUGUGGAUAAAUAUUUUCUUAUUAAAAGUUAUGUUAGGAAUACUAAAUUUACAAGCUAAAUGAUGUGGCAUCAAUAAAAAAUAAACACGUUAAUCAACAGUUAAGUAAUAAUUCAAUCAUCAACUUUCAUGUCAUUUAGUUUACAAAAUUCUAUCUACAUAUUUAGUCUUCCUAACAUUACCCUUUUUAUUAAUCUCAUUAUUGAUUAUUUUAAAGUGAUUUUUUUACUAUUCAAUAUUAGCAAUUUCUCUAAUUUUGAAUUGGUUAAUCGCUUCCAUUUUAAGUUUCAAUCUCAGAUUUACUAAAUUGUAACAAAAAAUUAUGAAAUUCAUUCACGCUAAUGCAGUCAUUUUCAAGGGUUUAAAAAGAACGGUCUGCAAUGGGGGCUAGACAAGACAAUAAGUGAGGUUGAGAUCCAAGUCUAAUGUUUGCAUUCGGAAAGUUACUGAGGCAGAAAUAGGGACACGUACAUUCAAUAAAAUACGUCAACUAUAAUAGUAUGGUAUGGACAAUGACAUCAUUUAACAAUUCAGAAAAUAAAAGAAAAAAUUAAGAACCACUGGCAAAAUAUCUCCAUGAAAUUUGGAGCUACUUAGAAAGAAAGAAAAAGACCAUCAAUUCUUAGAUUACUAAAUUAAGUAUCAAAAGUUUAAUUAACAAUUGAAAUCAUUCUUGUAUUCUAAUCAUCUUUUAGAAGCGAGCCCACUUUUAAUGCGUAAACUACUAAUGGAGGCCUGGACAAUUAGUUACAUACAAGAAUGAACUCAAUCCUCACGAGUAUAUUUGUGUGUGCAAUGCAAGCAGGUUGGUAGGUCGACCAAAUCCUAACCCGACCAAUCGAAUUGAAAGUCAAGUUAGACACAAACAGAUUCGGUUUGACCCAAUCCAAAUAGCACCUUUCAUAAUUUUUAGCACCUUUUGUAAUUUUUUUUUUUAAUAAACGAUAUUAGCCUCACAAUAAACUAGCAAUAAUGUGGUUCAAAUUCGUCUUUGGCGAGAAUCAAACUUAAGACCUCUCACUUACAAAUGAAAAAAGAUACCACUAGACCAUAGUACUAAGUGAUCGCACCUUUUGUAAUUAGCUAAAAGAUAAAAAGAGACGUUUGCAUGUUGCUGGGAGCCUUGGCGAUCGCCUCUAAACCUAAACCCUAAUUCCUAAACUUGAAGAGAAAACUUAGAGAUUGAAUUUCUGUUUCAUAGAAGACCAAGUCACAUAUAUCGAUAAGCCAUUUGUCAAUAUUCCAGACCAAGUCACGGACAAAUUUUCCAGGAACAAUUAACACCGCGUAUUUUCUUACACACGACCUUAUAUUUUCCGUAUCACAUACGUAUAAUGUCAUCAUAUAAACAAGAUAUAUGGAAAAUGUUCUGUCAUUAUUUCUUGCUUCAAAAUCAAUACCGAAAUGUCUGUCUCUAAAACCAGCGCGAAUCGUGUCCAAAGACUCUGGCUUCUGUUUCCCAUGGUCAUCAUCUACCUUCUCAUCAUUCUCCCCUAUGGAGUUGAAGCCGACAGUAGCACCAAUGUCACCAACGUCGGUGCUAUCAUUAACUUUAGUUCACGUAUUGGGAAAGAGCAGAAAACCGCCAUGGAGAUCGCAGCUGAGAGCUUUAACAACCUUUCAAAGACUCAUAAGCUCAUCCUUCAUUUUCGCGACUCCGGCAGAGACCCCUUUCUUGCUGCUUCUGCUGGUGAGUAAAGCAGUAAACACAUGACAUGACGGUAUUUAUAAUAGUUAACUAGUUUGGACAUGUAUUAGUACUGAUGGAGUUUAUGUAUGUUUCGUUUCAAUUUUUGUUGCAGCUGAAGAAUUGAUAAAGGAGAAGAAAGUAGAAGUAAUAGUUGGCAUGGACACAUGGGAGGAAGCAGCUCAAGUAGCUGAUCUUGUCGGAAACCAAACUCAAAUUCCGGUGAUUUCGUUUGCAGCGCCCUCUAUAACCCCACCACUAAUGCAACACCGAUGGCCAUUUUUGAUAAGAAUAGCAACAGAUGGUUAUGCUCAGAUGAAAUGCAUUGCGGAUAUAGUUUCAGCUUACCAUUGGAAAACGGUGGUUGUGGUAUACGAAGAUGAUGGUUAUGGCGGCGAUGUUGGGAUGCUAGCUCUUUUGACCGAGGCGCUCCAAGAUGUCGGUUCAAAGAUUGAGCACCGUUUGGUUCUUCCGCAGAUUUCUUCGCUGUCUAAUCCAAACUGGGUUGAGCUAGAAGAGAUGUUGAGGCUUCCCACCAUGCAGUCUCGGGUGUUUAUCAUUCUCCAGUCAUCGUUGCCUACGGUGACUAAUCUAUUUCGAUUGGCUGGGAAGAUGGGACUUGUUGGAAAAGAGUCAGCUUGGAUCAUCACCGAGAGUAUUGCAAGUUUGCUUGAACCUCAACACACCUCUGACAUGAAAGGCACCCUGGGAAUCAGGACCUUCUAUGCCAAUAAUACUAGUUCUUAUACAAAUUUCCGGAAGAAAUUCCAAACGAAGUAUUCAGAAGGAAAUAGCGCGCAGCCAGAAAUUUACGCUCUUCGAGCAUAUGAUGCUAUUGGAAUCAUUACACAGGCCAUCGGAAAAAUGACUGACAACACAAUUAGCCUUGAGGUGUUGAAAACCGUAUUGAGCAGUUAUACAGGUUUGAGUGCGAACAUGCGGUUAAACAGCGGUGAGGUACUGUCCUCUCCAGUUUUCAGGAUUGUAAAUAUUUUGGAUGAGAAUAGAUUCCAAGAAUUGAACUAUUGGGCACCGGAACUUGGGUUCUCAUCGGAUGAAGCAGGGGAAAACAAAUUCAGUGAUGUUGGUGGAGUAAUCUGGCCUGGGAACCUAACUGGUGCCCCGAAAGGCUGGGCAAUGCCUACUGUUGACAAGCCGAUGAGAAUUGGGGUGCCGGGUAAUACUUACUUCAGCAAAUUUGUGAAGGUUGAUCUGUCCAGGCAAGACUCAGAUAAGAAGAAGUAUGUCGGUUUCUGCAUUGCAAUUUUUGAUAUGGUCAUAAAUCGUUUGAACUAUUCUCUCCCGUAUGAAUUCGAAGUUUUCGAUGGCUUGCACGAUGAUCUUGUGGAACGAGUCCAUAAAAAGGUAAAACCAUCAUUUAUUUUUCUAUUUUUUCAUAAAGAUGAAUUCGAAUACUGUUUCUCUCUUUCAUUGGUUUUGAUUCGACUGUACGCUUGCAGGUUUAUGAUGCUGUGGUUGCUGACAUAACCGUGCUAGCUGAUCGGCUGGACAAGGUGGAAUUCACUCAGCCAUAUAUGGAGUCUGGUUUGUCAAUGAUAGUUCCAGCAAAACCCGAAAAAUCAACAUGGAUGUUUAUGAAACCUUUCACAUUGCAAAUGUGGGUGGUGACUGGUUCCAUCUUCAUCUACACAGUGUUCAUCAUAUGGUUCCUGGAGCGUCCGUUGAAUCCAGCAUUCGGUGGCCCCUUGAAGAAUCAGAUUGGCACAGCAACUUGGUUCACCUUCUCCUCUUUGUUCUUUGCUCACAGUAAGUACCAAUUUUGUACAUUUCACUACCAAAAAAGUGAGUAUUAGAAGCGCUUCUUUUAGAGGCGAGGGGCGGAUUUUCCCUGAAAUACACCCUAUUUGGUUUUGUAGUGACCAUUUUAAAUGCCCCUACCGCUUUUUCCUUCUUCGUAAUGUAUGAUAACCAAUGAUAAUCUAAAAUUUUUAGUACAAGCCUAACUAUGAAAAUAGUCGGUCCAGAAUUGUUUGAGAACUAUUCUUACCCUCAUUGUAAACCUAUGUUUUUAUCUCACAGAAGAGAAAAUCUACAGCAACUUAACGCGAGUGGUGGUCAUAGUGUGGCUGUUUGUUGUAUUGAGCCUGACCUCAAGCUACACCGCUAAUCUCUCUUCAAUGCUCACCGUCCAACGACUGAAACCGAAUGCAACAUACAUCGACACCAACUCGAAAGUUGGUUGCGACGGGGACUCAUUUGUCAUUGAGUACCUGCAGAAUGUCCUUGGAUUCAAAAACAUCAUCAAAGUCAAAAGCGAAUACAACUACCCGAAUGAAUUCAAAAAAAAAACUAUAGAGGCCGCCUUUCUUGAACUCCCAUAUGCAGAAGUCUUCAUGAAUGAGUACUGCGAAGGAUAUACUGCCACUGCACCCACCUAUAGAUUUGGAGGCUUGAGCUUUGUGAGUAAUGACUAAAUUGUUCACAUUCUAUUUCUCUCCGCGCGUACAAAAUACGAAAAUAUGCACAAAUAGAACUGGUUACAAACUUUUUGGUCGAAAAUAUCUCAAUUAAAGUUAACCAUAUUUCUGACCAACAUAGCGAAGCUAAUAAAAUUGUUUUCGUGUUCACCUUGCAGAUAUUCCAGAGAGGUUCUCCGAUAGUGCGUGAUUUCUCGAAGGUGAUUCUAGAGCUGUUGGAGAAUGGGGAAGUGAAGAAGCUACAAAAUGAAUGGUUGACUCCCAAAAAGGAGUGUCCAAGAAAUGCAACUUCGAACGAACCAGAAAGCUUGACCCUCAACAGUUUUACAGGCCUCUAUGUAAUAUCAGCUGCUACUUCCACCUUAUGCUUUCUGCUCUCUUUUACCAUCAGGCUGAGGAGGUUUCAGCAUCAAGAGGCAGCACAACAAGGCAGUGCAAGUCCGAGCCCGACCAGAGAAACGCUUUCGAACAAGGCAGUUAGAAUGGCAAAAAAAAUUUACACUCGACAGAUUGACGUUCCAACCAGAGCUCCAUUUUUUACUUUUUUCGCAGAAGAAUGGAGUUCUCCAAUGUGGGAGUACUCCACCACUUCCACUACUCAGCAUCCUCAUCACACCUACAAUCCAACAGAAAUCGAAUGCAUUCCAAUCCAAUCCAAUCCGCCUACCGAAAUCAACCCAACUGGUUCAAUUCCUUUGAACCAUAGAUCAUCAUUUUAGUACAUUUUUUUAUAUUCUUCCAGAUUGUAUAUGCUGAUAAAUUGCGCAUAUAGUUUUAGACUAAUGUUUAGGCAGUUGUCUUUGCUUUCUGUUUCUUUCAUACAUUUGAUUAAUUCAUGUAAUUUGUAUAGAAUACCUCAUUAAGAGAUGAAUACUGUAUCGUCUUAUUUUUACCAGAAGUAGUGUGAACAUUGAAUCAUGUCGUGUAGUCUUUUACAGAUAAUGGUUUCCAACAACAGCAGCCAAGGCUAAUCUCAUUAAGUGGGUUGUAUGGAUUUUAGAAUGCGAUUACGCUCGAUUUUGCGUCAUGUGUUCUGUUAGCUCCAAAUACUCCAUACAUUUUCUUACUGUGAUCUCUUUCCAAGUCUUCCUCUACCCCUUUUGAUGUUAGCAUUCGUCUCAUAAUUGCUUCUAUAGGUCUUCGGUUCAUGUGUCUAUACCACCUUACCUGAUUUCCUCUACUCUUAUCUCAACUGCGGCCACUCCUACUUUACAUCCGAUAUCCUCGCUCUUAAUCAUAUCAUUUCUCGUGUAGCCACUCCUACUUUACCUUCGAUUUUCUCUCAUCUCCGCUGCAUUCAUUUUUUGUUUGUUGAUUUUUGAACGCCCAACAUUCUUUCAAAUUAAUGAUCACUUUGUUUAUUCCUUUCCCGUUUCCCUUUGGAAAACUAUGCGAUUAAAGGGGGCAACCAUUCUUGCAUGCAAACUAGACAUAAAAGCUUUCAAAGAAAGACAAAUUCCUUAAGGAUGCAAAUCAACCCAGUUGAACAAUAAUAUAAAAUUGAAAAUAAAAGUCAAGCAAUCACCAGUGGUCUAGUACUAGAAUAGUACCCUGCCACGGUACAGACCCGGGUUCGAUUGCCGGCUGGUGCAGUUUUGGUUUUUUGUCUCAUUUUCACCCUCUGUUUUUGCGUAUCUACUUCCUCUCGUUGGCACCCAAUCUAUUGUGUAAUCACACAUCAUUAGCAUAGAGCAUGCGUCCCGAAAAAUACAAAUAAAACAAUUAUACCAUAGGCUCGUGACUCGUGUACAUGGCGAAGGACUUGCCUACAUCCGUCCCUGAGAUGCCAGUAUGGCGUCCCAUACCAAAUGAUGCAAGCUAUGUGUUUUAACUUCCGACAUAGGACUGUACCAUUGGUUUGGGACACCAUGGUGGCGUCCAGGUGUAAGGAACUCAUAUGUAAGCCAAUACUUUGUAAGGAACUCAUAUGUAGUUAAACAUUUUGUUUAUUAGACAUCACAUAAAUGACUCGUAGAAAAAAACUCAAUAUACAAACUAACAUUCUAGGAGGAGAAGAUGUUCUCGCAACAAACCUGACCUUGAAGUUGCAUCUGGAUUCCGGCAGAAUGGUUCCCGGCAGAUGGUGGAAUGUUUCAUGGUCUACUAUAUAUACAUAGGAGCACGGCAUACAAUCUCCUCAUUACUGUUAUGCGGAACUUGCUUUUUAUACUUCUUCACUACCGCUUUGGCUAACGGACUUCAAAAUGUUGAACUUGCAGAGUGGGCAGGUGGCAUUGAUCUGUAACCAUUUGUCUAUGCAGGUGCAGUGAAAGUGGUGACAGCAUGGAAGUUCACGCAGUUCAGUUCCAUCCUCGUAGGCACAAAGGCAGAUGCAACAUUCCUGAGAUUUAACACAAAAACUCAGGUAAUAAGUACACAAGUCAUGUAGCGUAGGCUCACUUGCUUGAAAGGCUUAAUUGCUGAACAAGUACAUGGUAUGAUUUCCGGUUGGUAAUACAAAAACCGAUUUCAGCAUAUUCCAUUUAAAAAUAAUAAUAAAUAACUAUGUUAUGAGACUUCCAAGUAAAAAGAAAUCAAGAAUGUAUCAUGGAACUUACAGCAUCCUCUGCAGAAAGAACAUGUUCAGUAGGUGUAGUAGUGUCGCUUUCCGUCAUUACUCCUCCAGAAGAUUCUAGGAUCUCACCAUUAACUUUGUCAAAAUCAGGUAUCUUGUGGAACUUGUACUUUGGCAAAUGAUCGAUCUCUUCCUUUGUUGCUCCUUCCUGUUCAGAAACCAAAAAUGACCAGGAAAUUAGGGACAGUAUUUAACAGCAUAUAAAUGGAAGUAAGGUAUAAAAAUCACACAGGUUCUGAUGAAAUUCAAAAAUUCUCCUAAAGUGAACUAAAGUAAACGGCUCAUACAUAGAAAGUUAGAAACCAUGCAACAUAUGGUAGUCAAAUUGGACAAAUAAAAACAAAGUCACUAUAAAUCUCCAAGAGCAGAAAUGAACUCUAGACAAUGUCUUCACAUGGCAUGUUUAGAUCUUAGCUCACAAUCCUAGUGGCGAUUGGACCAUCUGCAUUCAAUUGUACUAGACAAUGGGAACAACAACAACAAAGCCUUUUCCCACUAAGUGGGGUCGGCUAACUAAGUGGGGUCGGCUAACGUUCACCAAUCAAACUAGAGCUUGUGUCUAUAAGAAAAGUGACAUAGUAAAUAUCAGAGGCUUUAUGUUGUGCGAUAUAUUCUUAGUUUGCCUCAUAUAUAGCUUUGAAGCUUGAGAAUAUCAGAGGCUUUAUGUUGUGCGAUACUAACGUUCACCAAUCAAACUAGAGCUUGUGUCUAUAAGAAAAGUGACAUAGUAAAUAUUUUUUCGAGUGGCAUCGUAGUAUCACUGAAUAUCAAGCUUCUUAACGUAUGGAAUCAACUCAAACAUUUCCUACAAGCACAUACCUGAUCUGUCACAACAUACAAUAUGGCAAUGAUGCAGGGGAGACAGAAGCAAACGGCAAUACCAAUGAGAGACACGACAGCAACGCAGAUGACUACGAAGACAACAUCCAAAGCAAGAAAAGUGAUACAAAUCCUGCAUAAACAACCCACAUUUUAUAAGCCAAAGAUGAUCACAUCAUGCACAGAAAUGUCUUGAACGAAAACAGUAGCAAAAAGGGACAGUUAGUUCAAACAAACCAGUAUAACUGUGGGGAAUCUCGUGUCAAACUUUCACCGCCAGCAGUCACCCAGUAGAACCCAAGAAGCCACCAGAUAAACGAAAACACCGUAUUUGCAGACUCCAAAUGCUUUGCAACACUGCCACAUCAAACCAUCAGAAUAUUCUUCUACAUACACACCACAUCAAUCAAUCUCAGUCAAAACAAAUUCUUCAAAUGGAAAAUGGGUACUUUCCUAGAGGCUCAAAUCCAGUCCAAAACUCCCAAAUUUAAUCAACAAAACAAAUUUUCACCAAAAAUAGAUAUUGCAACAGCUACAAUACUACAAAUAGUAAAAAUUAAUACUCAAAACCCCAGUUCAAAUCCUCAAUAACACCACAAAAAAAAGUUAAAUCAUUUAAAAAAAAAUUGAAAAACCUGGUGACAGUGUAGUCGGCGCUCUGCUCAACUCCAUAGUCCUCACCAUCAUCACUCCCAGACGCAGAUGAAUUUUCCCACCCGGAACUCGCUUCCGCCGCCGCUUGACCUCCGCGCCUCCGCCGCUUGCACUCCACCCCCACGCAGACCAUAUGGACCAGGCACUGAAACGCGUACCCGCCAAUCCAAGUCCUCAAAGGCACCGAAGGCGCCUCUUUCCAGCUCAUCGACAGCACCCCGACGGCAAUCCCAAGGAGCCCGGCGUUCCACAAGAGGUCCAACACGAUAAUCGGCCGAGAGUAGGCCCAGUCACUCUGGCGCUCCUCCAGCUGCUCCGCCGCCGCCUCCCGUACCCGGACCGACGGCUCGCGCAGCAUCAUGCGUCGGCUGCUGGCGCGACGCAGGAAGCGAGCCGCGCCGCGAAGAGGGCGCGGCGGCUGACGCAUGAGCAGCCGGCUGCGGACGAGGUUGUCGGCCAUCGAUUGGCCUAAAAGCGGCGACGAAGCGUCGGAGGGAGACGGGGGUUGGUGGUGGUUUGAGUUCAACAUCGUCUUUCGGUUUGAAUUUUACUGAAAUUUUGAAACUAAUUGAAUUGGGGUUUUCCUUUUGAUCUGAAAGAAGUGAACUUUAGGGUUUGAGAGUGGGGGGUUGAAUUGAAAGAUUGGGUUUUGGGGAUGAUUUGAUCGGAAUAUUUGGUGAGCUUUUUGUAUCGUGGUUAAGGAAGAACACACUUUUUAAGACAAUGAAAUGGGGUUUCGUCAACGGUUAAAUACAACGGAGUUGACACGCGCGGGACUACCAACUAUAUUUUCUUUUAUUUUAAAUAGGAAAGAGAAAAGAAAAUUAAUUUUGGAUAUUUACCAAAAUUACAAAAUUUGAUUUUUUUUUUUUUUACCAAAAACAAAUUAACAGUCCUCCUGAAUGUGGCAAAAAGAAUCGUCUAUUAUUUUCUGUUUAUAUAAUUUCUAUUAAUAUAGGAAAAUAAAUAUUCGAUUUUUGUCUAAUAUUGUCUAUUAAUGGUCGAUUUUUGUUCAGAUACAAAAAAUAAAUAUUCUCUAUCGAUUGAGUUACAAGCUCUUUGCUUUAUUUUUGUAGAAGAAUAAUUCUUUGUUAUUUGGAGAGGCAAAGGGACUAUAGUCACUAUACAUAUAAGUUAAAAAGAUAAAGAAUAUGGUGGCGGGGACCCUUGGCAUAAUUAUUUUUGUUCAAGUGAUUUUAGGAAUAUAUGAUCCAAUAUCCUAGUGAAUAACAUAUUUGAUUUUUAUACAUGCGUUUCUUCCUCUUGUAAAUUAUUGUAAUAAUUUUGAACUCUCUCCCUAAAAAAUAAAAAAAAUAAAAAAGUGAUAUUUUAAGGUUUCUCUAGUAUACAUUGACAUACAUGGACAUUCGUUCCUUACUACACAUCCAAAGUUCCACUCACUGAAUGCAUAUCAUACGCCGAAACAUAAUAAAAUUUUUAGAUGCAUGUACACUCAUCCCCUCAAGGGAUACUUUAGCGCAUGUCUGCUCAACAAUUCAAACUUAAAUGCAGAGAUCGGAGCACAUUGUUCCUAACCAACUUUGGGUAGGCCCAAGUUUGCAAAAACCCUUUAAAGCUUCAACCUUUGGAUCCAUCACAUUUGUCACACUUUGUAUCCACAAUUUACGGCGUAGUUGUACAAACUUUAAUGACAAAGUAAAAAGUAAAGAGGUAAUUAGUACAACUAGAAAAUGGCAAGAGAAAGUCAUAAUAUUCGAACAUAACGGUCAUACUAACGCACGGAUAGAUCCCUGGAGCUGUCUCGGGAAGCUGCGUAUUUUUUCGACGACGGAGGGAAAUACUCGAGAGGUUCUUGUUAGACAAAGCUCCAGAACAUAAUUAGUGUUAAUCAACAAUGAAUCCAGAUUAUAAUCAGCUUGCUCGAUGAAACAAAACUUGUUUCAAACUCGUUUUUAAGACGAGAAAUAAUUCAGCACAUCGCGCACUCAUAUGCAUAUUCCUGGGGUGCAUCCAUAUCUUACCAUCAUGAUCUUCCGAAAUUGGCUCACGGUGCAGCUAUCUGUAACCCCUUCCCCUUCCACGUCCACCCCACCCUCUGCCUCUGCUCCUUCCUCCACCGCUCCUUCCCCCGCUUCUUCCACCUUGAGAUAGACCUUCAAAUGCUCUAUUAACAAGCUGGUUUUGUAAACCGCCACCUCCACGGCUCUUUUUUGAAGGCAUAUUUCCAGAUCCAUUGGAAAAAUUAGCAGGUCGUUUUGCUCUGCACCAGUAGGUUUAAACCACAUAAGAAUAGAUCGUUUUAAAUAUAAUUUCAAAAGAAUAAAAAUGUUGCUUUCACAGCAUAUUAUUUUUAUAUCUCCCCCUUCAAGAUUCAAAGUGCAUCUCGUAUAGAUAAAGACUAAACUAUUAAAUGUCGAUGUCUAUGUAUCUAAAUGGUCAGUAAUUGCAAAAACAUGGAAAAAUAUAGACGUCUGUCAAAAAUCAGGAAAAGAAGGAAAAUUACAAGAAAACAUGCAUCAUUUAAUGAAACUCCAAGAGAUGCUCGUGCCAUCAGUAACCCAUAACUAUGACUAAAAGAAUACGAUAAAAGAUAGAAAAUUAGUCGUUUGAUAUUUUUUUUCUCCUAGCCAAGACAACUGAAACCAAUGGACUGUAAUAAUCCUAUUGUUUGCACAAGCAAUUCAAGAAACUGUAUUAUCCCAACUUGUGUAAAACUAACGAAUCCAAAAGUCUAGCAUAACAUAAAUCAACAUUUAUUCUUCAAACCAAUGAGAAUGUAAUAAAAAAGGGGAUCGAGAGGAUUCCUCUUACCCUGUGGUCGGCGAGCUAGAGGGCACAGCAGGUUUUGUUGCUUCUUUCCAAGACAGAUUGAUGCUCUUAUCUCCAAUGAACGAGGGUGUUUUUGAAUGCAGAGUCUGCAUUGUUUCAAAUCAUUUAAACAUAAGUUCUUACAGAUCAUGAAUAAAUGAUCAUCCAUUCAAAAUAAUCAAACAGUUGCCCUCACCUUUGUCAUUGUCAAUAUGUUAUUGCAGGUUCGCAACCCAGUUGUAGUAUUCUGCUUUUCAGUUUUCUGCACAUCAAAUUAUUGUUUUCAAGAUAAUUGCCAGUAGAAAAGGUCCACAAGACAAUCUGAAAUGUUCAUAAAAUUAACUCACAAUGGUAUUCUUUGCUUCUUCAGACUUUGCAGCUGCCAUCGCUUUGUUCUUUUCAGCCAUUCCCUGUGUUAACUUCUUCAUGGUGGCCCUAGUUAGCUCCUCAACAUAGCUCAACCUGCACAAUCAAUCAUAAUAGUUCCAGUUAUAGUCUUAUAGAGGUGUGGCCACUUGAUUAUCCACUUUUCAAAGUAUUUGCUGAGAUAUCAGUAACAUGAAAAAAUUUAUCUUUUGAAAAUUACUAAUAACUUUAGCUAUCCUGUGGCUUGAAAGCUAGGCUUUUUUUUCUUUUUUUUUUGGACAAAAGGCUGGGCUUUUGAUAAUAUAUACAUUGACAAGAAAGUAGGAUAGUAUAGACUAGAAUAAGUAAUCAUAUAUACAAGGAGUAAAACAGGGAAAAAGAAAGACCAACCUCUCAGUAAACUCCUUAUAUUGCUCCGAAAAGUCCUCGCCAAGCCUAUCUGAUGGUUGCCCAGUCACUAUCUUGUAACCGCAUAGACUGUUAGUAGCAUUAGGAACCUAUAUGAUAAAGAAAUCAAGUAAGCACAAAAAAAAUGUUUAUUCGCAGUAGUAUUGACAAGAGGUUGAAUGGAAUUCAAAAUACCUUGUGAGCAAGAUGGUGAAAAGUGUACAACAAGCAUUCUACGUAAGUGAAGUUAAACUCCUCUCCAGUCUUUCUCCGAGGCAUGUUUUUCUGCAAGGAAAAAAUAGAAUAAAAAUGAGAAUUAUUUUGCGACGAGAAUAAACAAAAAAAUGACUCCAAAAAUGGUUUGUUAUCCAGCCAUGGAACAAACAAAAAAGCCGAUACUGCCCAAAGACUGGAUGUGAAUAUAUUGAUUCUAAUAAGUUUUUAAAGGCACAAUUGAGGUUCACCUCAUAGCAAUGCGCCUUGAGUGACAAAUUAAUAUUAUAAGUUCAGGGAUUGAAUAUUACGGUUGAAUGAUAAUUAGUACAAUAAUACAUAUAUUUAAAUCUUUUUAAUUGAAUAACUUGAGUCUCAAAGGCUUAUUCUUCGUCUUGCCAGAAUUAAAAUGACUCACAUUAUGCAUUUACAUUUAUAAACACUGAUUCUAAUAGUCGAGAGUAUUUACAGGUUGGAUCUUCACGCACAUAGUCCAAACAUCUAAUAAUUUUGAAUAUAUAAACUGAUGGCAUUACCGAUUAAAAAUAUUGUACCUUCAACAGCUGAACAACAGAAGGAAGAAUCUGACGAGAAUCUUGUGGUGCUGUGAAAGGUGAAACUUCUGCAAGGGCUUUUAGCAAAUCUAGCCUUCUUUCAUCAGGAAGCUGACAAAGAAAAAAUUGUUUAAAUAAAAAUGCUUGACGAGCUUGCCCAUUACACCAAAACGCUAUAAAGACGGCACAUCAGAGGAUAAAAUUGUCAAAUAGUCAUAAAAAGAUAAUGAUAAAUUGAAAUGGAAUUAAAAUUUUAUUUAUCAUCACUAAAGGCUUGCAAGUACCGCAAUCCCCAAGCUAUUUACUUAAUUCUAUAUUCCAUAUCUUCCUUUUUUUCAUUUCAGAACCUAAUGAUCAUUUCUCAAGAGUCCUCUUAACAAUGUAGACAAGUAUGAAACAGUAUGACUACUUACAGCCAAUAAAAACUUCUGGAUUCAUAUGGAAAUAAAGGAAUCAACUAUUUGAUCUAAACACUGCUGUAGUAUUGGAGUAGUUGACUCAAGAAAAGAAAUAAAGCAAGAUUAGAAGACCAAUAGCAGAAAGGAUAUAUCAUCCCAAAUUCUGAUGGAACAUUUCACACAAAAACAAAUAAAGCAAACAAAUAUAGAAAAAAAUUAUAUCCCAGUGUUGAAUUAUAUAUCAGCUUGUUUACUAGAAAAUGUAAACAUUUUCAUUUUUUUGGGCCAACACUGAUGGAAGAAUAUAGAAUUAAAACUUUCAGAUUACCAAGAAACUUGCGCACAUAUAGAAUAAUAUACCAAGUCGGCGGAAGUGAUGAUGUUACCUUAUCCGAAACAGGAAGGAUGUGUUUGUCCAGAUAGUUUAGGAACUUGCUGCUUGAUGCACCCCUCUGUAUCAAAUAUGAAUUAACAGGGUUGGUCUUUGAUUCCCAGAAAUACACACAUCAAAAGCACAAGGAAAAAUCUACGAUAUUAGAGGGUAUACCACAACAAAUGGUAGAGCCAUGAAUAGGCAGGAUAUCAACCUGUCAAUAUGAUCAGCAUCUGAAACCUGCAUCCCAACCAUUUUGGCAUUAAGUUAUCGAUAAAACCAAAGUGAUUAAAAAGAAUACAUUAAUACUACGAUCUUAAAAAAAGGAAGCAGAAUAUACACUGUAGAAGCAUCUUUUCCAAUAUGAUCACUUUUGUUUCCUUCUAGCCUAAAAGGACAAUAUCAUAUAGAAGGGUGGCUUAUAUUAAAUGACAUUAACAAGACACUGGUGGUCAUUAUAAUUUGAAAUAAUUUUCUAAAUCAAACUUUCAACCCUACAGACAUGCAUAGUUAUAGAUGCCCUGAUACUUUAAGAAAUUGAUGAAUAUCAAGCUUCCAAUGAAUCUACAUAUCUUGAAAAACAAUCCAACUAGACUAUCCCAGCACCAAAAACAACCUGCUCAUAUACUGGUUUGAUUACAGGUCUAAUUGGGAUCCUGGGAAUAGUAAAUAACUAAGUAGAGCUUCACCUGUAAACAAUUGACAGAUUUGUUGAUCAUCCCAACAAAAAACGGAAAAGUAAACAAAUUUAUCGCUUAACAAAUCUACAGCAUGCAGUCAAUAUUAUGAUGAGAAAGCUGGUAAGAAGUCAUGAAUAAGUACUACAUACAAGGAUUAAUAUAAUCACUAUGACUGAUAUUGGUCCAGGUAUGAUUAUCAUUAACCCUAAACCCUAAGCCCAUGCCAGAGUCAUGCAACCAUACAUGCAAUUAGUAAUCAAAAUACAAAGUCAAUGCAUCACAUCUAGGGAUGACAAAAUAAAUGCAAGCCAUCUUAUGGAAUAACAGAGUAAUAUCAAAAAGGCUUAUUUCAGCAUUAUUCAUUGUGAGUACAUUUGGCAUAUUGGGCUUGGUCAGAAACUGCUAUUCUUUAUCCUUAAAUCAACACAAUAAAACAAGUGCUU